GUUGGUAACUGCGUCAGAGACUUGAGGCUAACAGACAGCCCUCCAGCCCCAGCCUUAGUUUCUCUUAACAUUUAUGCUCCCAACCCAGGCAGACUUGUGGCCCUGGGGCUCAGGAGGCUUGCUGCAGACCAUAGCGCAACCUGCCUCAGGUAUCCGGCAACCAGCACUGCACACUGUUCCCUUCCCGUAAAACAGAUACUCCUACUUCAUCAAAGGUCUCAUCUCAGAUCCUGGUACGAGAUGUGACCCUUGCCGCUAGAUUUAGCCGGAUGUAGCCGUGGUGACCUGUUCUUCUGUUAUCAGACUUUCCCCAUGGAUUCCUCUACAGCACUGAACCACGACUGAACCAGUUGACCAAAGUUGCCCUGUGGACUCCCAAUCUCUGGUUCUGAAUCCAGGAUCAGCGUCACACCAUACAGGGCCUCCUGGCCCUCAGACAUGACAUCAAGUCCUGACAGUGAUCUCAUAAGCGUCCGGGAAGACUGCUGGAUUCUGGCAAGAUCGUCGGGAUCUGGAAUGAGAGGGGUCGAAAUGGACGCCCUCCCUCUCCCUCGCCCCCCAAGGCUUGCCAAGGAGAAUCGUAGAAGUUUGAAAGGGCGUCCUGGGUCUUACCUGCUUUCUUCCUGGCCUCCUUACUGAAUGUGGUAUCGGAGGCCACCUAUGGUUCUGCCUUAUCAAAAAGGACCUACUACGGUGUAGUGGAAGCAGGAGCAGAAACGCUGCUCUCGAGUCGAGAGAAAGGAAAGCAGUGCCGCGGAAGGGACGGAUGUGGCAAGUGCCACAAAGUCCACUCGGUUGCUUUUGUCCCAUUAGAGUUCUUUGCUCCUUUCCCAACUUCUCAUCUUCCUCCCUGUCCUAUAGGCAGAAGGAAGCAAGAGCUCUUACCCAGAGGCAAACAUGGGACUUUCCACAAAGCCUCCUGGGGCGCAGAAGAGGCCCACCAAGGAGAACAGAUUAUCAGGAACCCUGCAACGGUCAGGGCUGGGGGUCGGCCCACCCCUUUGCCCUAACCACCUGUGUUGAAGGUUCUACUCACAACCCUGCUGAUCAAGCAAUCCCAAAUUGGUAAGGCCUGGAUGGACCCAGCAGCGUGGCCCUGUUUCAGUUCUAGGAGCUUGCACUGUACACACUGCUGCACUCCCUCCCUCCCGGGGCUCUGCUAGCCCUACUCACAGACAGAGAUGCUCAGCUCCUAGUCCCAGCCACUGAGCCCUCUAGCACUGCCCUCUGGUUUGGUAGAGAGCUCCUUUGGGAAGGCAGGUGCCCCCUUCAGGGAUUAGAAAUUGUCAUUCCCCAGACAGGCACUUGUGCCCGGCCCCAGCUCACCAGUGCAGUCUCUCUGGAGAUCUGGGGACCGCAGUUUUCCAGUGCCUUUACUCACUCCUUGAGCUCCACCUUCUCAUACUUGACCUUUCAGGAAAUAGCCCUGGAGCCCAAAUCAGAUCACAGGUCUUGAUGGAAACCUGCUGUGGUCCCACAUCCUUCCUGGCCCUUGUCAGAUGGCUUCUGUAGCUUCUCCAUGCCAAGUGUAGAACCCAGCGGCACUGUCAAACACGGUCUGCCCCACUCCUGGCCGGCCAGUAUCGGAUUCUCUGUUCUGACAAGAAUUACCAAAUGAACAAUAUGAGGGAGCUACUCUUCUUCAACACUAGCUACAUGGGCGGGUAGAACUGCCACUUGCAGACAAGAGAGGAUCAUGUGUAUUAAGGGGACACCAGGGACACUAGAGGGCAGGAAGCCAAAGGGAAGCGCUUCCCUUUUCUCGGCCUCAGCCGGUGUGAGGGCCCAGAGAAAUCAGAGGGUGGGGACCCAAAGUAUCCUGGUGUCCAAUGACAAGAGGGAAGGUGAGGACAAAACACCAAGUGGCAGAAGUAUGUUUAGGGUCUCUUCAGAAAUUGUCAGAAAGUCUGGCCUAAUGUAACCCAGUGAGUUGAUGUUUAUGCUCAUCACUUGGGAAAACUGGAAACAACCAUAAACUUUUAUCUGCUCUGCUGUUCAUUUGAUCUGAACACGAAUCUCUGAUUAAUGGGCUGGGGCCACAUCCAGGCACAUUUGGCCAACCUAUAUUUGAAAGCUACCUAGCUCUUUUCUCUUGGCCUUACCAAGAAAUCCAGCAUUAGCUUGUGGUAGCAUUCCCAACCUUGCCUGCCUUCUCCUAGUACUAGAGUUCCAUGACCCCCAAACUGAGCCUGAGAAGCUGUGACAGUUGGGACACUGUUAACUGCUUUUCAAAGUCAAGGAGACUGGGCUGUAGACGGCCUUGCAGUCCAUGGCAAACAAGUCUAGUAGCCAGCACAGCAGGUAUCACACCUGCUAAUGGCAUAAGCCUGGUUCUGUUUCUCAGGCCAGAGCAGGCUGGCACUCUGAUUCUCUGACAGGAAGCCCAGUGCCCCUUCAGACAAUGACCUAUAUUCAGAAGGUCAGGAAGUGUCAAGACUAGAGCAUCUAGUUCCUAGGAAAACAUCCUCCAGGGUGCACACAACAGCUCUGUAGAAUGAGUCUGCUGAAGAAAGGGUUCAAGAUGAUCUCGGGGUGCAGAUGAGUUUGGUGGGGUACUCAACUGGCAUGCAGGAGUCUCUUGGAUCACUUCUCACCAUUGUUGAAACUGGGUGUAAUGAUGCAUGCCUGUAAAUCCUAGCACUCGGGUGAUGGAGGCAGGAGGAUCAGAAGUUUAAGGUCAUCCUCUGCUGCAAAGGAAGUGUGAGGAUAGCCAGUAAUGCAGGGGACAGAGUCAUAAAAGCAAAUAAAAUGAUAACUGAAAUA